AGUCACGCCAUUGCCAGUGCCUAAAUUAUAAAUCUUAAGCCUGAGGUGCUGUUUAUGCAAAGCAUUUAACGCUGCCACAUGACCAGCAGCCAAAUCCAUAACGUGAAUAUAAUCGCGGACACCUGGAAAAGUAUAAGAUGAUAAUCACCACCGAAUAUGAUCAACUCCGGCUUGUGCCUCAAUGCAACUUGAGCGAUAUACGGCAUCAAAUUUGUAAAUGGUUUCGUCGGAUCCUCGCCAAUCAAUCCCGAUGGGUGAGCACCUACUGGAUUGAAGUAUCUUAAGGAUACAAUGUUCCAACUCUGUAUUAAACAAAAGAAAUCUUUAAUUAAAGAACUAGAAAAAAUAUAGAAACUAGAAUGCAAAUAACAUAAUUUCUCCCUCAAAAAGAAAGUCAAAAAUAGAAGUGAUAUGGUUUUUUAAUCUAAAAUAUAUAUACAAGGAUACAAGGAAACUGUUAUUUUAUCUCUGGAGAUAUCCUUGAGCAUUUCCUCGAUAAAGUACUUAGUGCGACCAUAAACGUUGGUAAUAUUGCCGGUUUCAUGUUCUUCUGUGAUAGGU